CCUACGGGAGGCAGCAGUGGGGAAUAUUGGACAAUGGGGGGAACCCUGAUCCAGCCAUGCCGCGUGUGUGAAGAAGGCCCUCGGGUUGUAAAGCACUUUCAGUGAGGAAGAACGCCUGGUGGUUAAUACCCAUCAGGAAAGACAUCACUCACAGAAGAAGCACCGGCUAACUCCGUGCCAGCAGCCGCGGUAAUACGGAGGGUGCGAGCGUUAAUCGGAAUUACUGGGCGUAAAGCGCGCGUAGGUGGCUUGAUAAGCCGGUUGUGAAAGCCCCGGGCUCAACCUGGGAACGGCAUCCGGACCUGUCAAGCUAGAGUGCAGGAGAGGAAGGUAGAAUUCCCGGUGUAGCGGUGAAAUGCGUAGAGAUCGGGAGGAAUACCAGUGGCGAAGGCGGCCUUCUGGACUGACACUGACACUGAGGUGCGAAAGCGUGGGUAGCAAACAGGAUUAGAUACCCUAGUAGUC
rnacentral:rRNA from 1 species